AGCCACUGACUCAUCACUUGGUAGCGGUCUCCACAGCAAGUUUUCAUGCAAGUUGAGAGGAUCGGGAACUGGGAGAUGACCUGCAAGUUUGGCAUCUUUACCCCCACCAGCCCUGAGGGUUUCUGGAAAUCAGCCAGCUAGCACAGCCAGGAUGACUGGUGGAAUGAUAGCAGCACACUGGUGGAACUGGUGGGUCCUUAAAGGAGGAAAGGACCUGAAAUAUUCAAUAAUAUGUCAAGGAAGAUAAAGCGAUGACAACAAGACAAACAUCUCCCUUUUCCCGCUCCAAGCGUUCCCGCCUCCCGACUGAGCUCCCGAUCCUUUCUGGCAGAUUUACAGGGUUUAGAAGUCCUGAUUCUUAAUGAGAUGUUAAUAAGUAUUUCCCAUGUGCCGCAUUCACCCUCAGACGAUCUCCCACCCAGGACCCCGGAAGGAGCACACCGGUCCGUCCAAGAAAAUCACGCUUAGAAGGAACAGUGCAUGGAGAAAGCCUCCUCAGAUCCUCAUCCCGUUGUGGCUGGUGGAGAGAAGGUUUCAGAAGGGAUGAAUUACACCGGGAGGACAAACAGCGGCCCGGUCCCCGCACCCAAGCAGCAGGCGUAAACUCCUCGACCACGCAUCCCUUGACGCAGCUGCUGUUCGAGUCUAUGCCA